rnacentral:rRNA from 1 species
ACGCGAUAAGUAGACCGCCUGGGGAGUACGGUCGCAAGACUAAAACUCAAAUGAAUUGACGGGGGCCCGCACAAGCGGUGGAGCAUGUGGUUUAAUUCGAUGCAACGCGAAGAACCUUACCUGGUCUUGACAUAGUAAGAACUUUCCAGAGAUGGAUUGGUGCCUUCGGGAACUUACAUACAGGUGCUGCAUGGCUGUCGUCAGCUCGUGUCGUGAGAUGUUGGGUUAAGUCCCGCAACGAGCGCAACCCUUUUCCUUAUUUGCCAGCGGGUUAAGCCGGGAACUUUAAGGAUACUGCCAGUGACAAACUGGAGGAAGGCGGGGACGACGUCAAGUCAUCAUGGCCCUUACGACCAGGGCUACUCACGUGCUACAAUGGUCGGUACAAAGGGUUGCUACCUAGCGAUAGGAUGCUAAUCUCAAAAAGCCGAUCGUA